GUGGGGAAUCUUCCACAAUGGACGAAAGUCUGAUGGAGCAACGCCGCGUGAGUGAAGAAGGGUUUCGGCUCGUAAAGCUCUGUUGUCGGGGACGAACGUGAGAUACUUGAAUAAAGUGUCUUAAUGACGGUACCUGACGAGGAAGCCACGGCUAACUACGUGCCAGCAGCCGCGGUAAUACGUAGGUGGCAAGCGUUGUCCGGAAUUAUUGGGCGUAAAGGGAGCGCAGGCGGGAAGGUAAGUCGGUCUUAAAAGUGAGGGGCUCAACCCCGUGAUGGGAUCGAAACUAUCUUUCUUGAGUGCAGGGAAGGAAAGUGGAAUUCCUAGUGUAGCGGUGAAAUGCGUAGAUAUUAGGAGGAACACCAGUGGCGAAGGCGACUUUCUGGACUGUAACUGACGCUGAGGCUCGAAAGCCAGGGGAGCGAACGGGAUUAGAUACCCGUGUAGUCC
rnacentral:rRNA from 1 species